GGAGGGGUCGCAUAGUGGCCUAGUGCGCUCGCUUGGAAAGCGAGUAAGGGGGCAACUCCUUCGAGAGUUCGAAUCUCUCCCUCUCCGCCA
rnacentral:tRNA from 1 species